CUCAUCGCAUCACCUCUUCUCAUCGUAAUACAGAUCUUCAAUUGCGCUUCCUUUCAUCGUAAUACAAAUCUCCGUCUGCGCCUCCUCGUCAUCGUCUCCUCUCAUCGUAAUACAAAUUAAUCUCCUUUUGUGCCUCCUCUCAUCGUAAUACAAAUCACACACAUCUUCUCUCGUAAAUUAGCUCACACGAUCGGUAAGCGAGCACGUUAUAUCUUGUGUUUUUCAAUUUCUUAAUCUUCGUGUCUUGGAUCCGUCGUUAUGUCUAACAAGUGGGUGCGGGUUCCAAAUUGCAACAUCGUUGAAAAUGGAUGAUCAGAAAAUAAAGGUUGCAUCUUCGUCGUCCAUGUUUUGACUGUAAGUUUACUUCUUCAUUGCAUUUGCAGAAAGUCUUGCCUCAAAAUCAUCAGCUAGAACUAUCAAUUUCUAUUUGAUGGAUAAAAAUGGUUAAAUAAUUAUUGGGAUGGAAGUGAUUAAAAAUUAUCGAAUAAGUUCAUUAUUAAUGUUAUUGAUGUGACGAUAAAAUUUUUAUUUAAAAUUAUUAAUCAAUUUUUAAGAUGAAAAUAUCUUAAUCCCUAACAAUUUUUAAUAAAAAUAUCACAUCAGUUUCAUAUUACUAAAA
rnacentral:lncRNA from 1 species